rnacentral:rRNA from 1 species
CCCGUAGGGCGCAAGCGUUGUCCGGAAUUAUUGGGCGUAAAGAGCUCGUAGGUGGUUUGUUACGUCUGCUGUGAAAUCCUAGGGCUUAACCCUGGGCUUGCAGUGGAUACGGGCAGACUAGAGGUAGGUAGGGGAGAAUGGAAUUCCUGGUGUAGCGGUGAAAUGCGCAGAUAUCAGGAGGAACACCGGUGGCGAAGGCGGUUCUCUGGGCCUUACCUGACACUGAGGAGCGAAAGCGUGGGGAGCGAACAGG